ACUAGGUGAGCUGUGCUAAACAAGUUUCUACCCUGAGGGGCUCACAAUGAAAGGUCAUGGGCUGGCACAGUACAAAUAAAGCUGGCUCAGAGAGAUAAAGGAGAGGGCAGGAGGGGAAGAGAUAAAGGAAGGACAGGAGGGCAUGAAUGUUCCUCCUUUGCACCCUGGGGCUCCUUCCCAGCUCACACUAGGUAGGACCGGUCUGGGAUGCGUCCUGUGGACUAGUUAUCCGGGCGGGGAUCAGGGUUACUGUGACUGUGUGCUGGAAUCAAAGAUGAGUCAGUACCCUGGUCACUUAAGCCCCAAUUAAUUCCUCCCAGGGUGGGCAUGAUGGGGGGGCAAUGAAUGGAUUAGAAUGGGCUGGGGGAGAAUUAACGAGCCAACUGGUCCCUUAACACAGGAGGUAUAAGGCAGUGCAGGAAGGGCGCGUAGGGGAGAGAGACGCAGGUUAGCAGAACCAGGACGGCUCUCUGGGCGGAGAGAUCUUGUUCCUCUCCGUGGCAGAGAACUGAGGAGAAAGAAACCGUGAACAAUACGGUGUAUGGCUCAGUCAGGUGGCGGAAAGAGCAAAUAUAAAUAAACUGCACAGGGGUGUGUAACAACGGAGCUCUCCGAGUGGGAGCGGACAGAGCAGCAGCGGGAUGUGGUCCUGACAUGCUGCAUUUCAGUGGCGCCCGUGGACAGGUGAAGAUGCACAUUCCGCCAAAGCCUGGCCUGGCCGGAGCAAAACCAUGGCCCCCAAGCCUGGCUGGUGUAUUUCCAAAGGGGCAGGAAAGUAGAGUCACAUGAUUCUGGAGCCUUGUGACACCCGGUGGAGCCCCUUCAGAAUGAAUAAGUGCAGCUCUGUAUUACGUCAGUGAAAUAUGGGCAUGGAGGACCCAAGCAGGAGCAGACAAUGCUCAGGCCCUAUAAAAGGCAGUCACCAUGUAGUCCGGGGCUUGUUCUUUCCUGGGCUUCUUCCAUUGCUGUCUACUCUUCUACUCCUUCGACUUGCUGAGGAACUUGGACCAUCGGCCAUCGUGGAAUGCCAGAGACAAGGCUGGUCCCUUUGUCUCUUACCACCCGGUCCUCAACCAAGGGUAAUGAAUAUGCAAUUCUAAGAGCCUAUGUGUAGAAUGAUACCACAGAUAACAAGAUAACCCUGAUACUGUAUUAUUCCUAUGUGGCUUGGAUCUUUUCUAGCUUUACCCAGUAAUUUAAUAAAGAUAUCAAAGGUUUUCCUUU